GCCCUCGUAGUUCAACGGAUAGAACAAGGGACUCCUAAGCCCUAAAUACAGGUCCGACUCCUGUCGAGGGUACCA
rnacentral:tRNA from 2 species